AGCAUGUCUGUUCGAGUGUUGGUU
rnacentral:rRNA from 1 species